UACGAAGGGGGCUAGCGUUGUUCGGAAUUACUGGGCGUAAAGAGUGCGUAGGCGGUUUUCUAAGUUUGGGGUGAAAUCUCCCGGCUUAACUGGGAGGGUGCGCCGAAGACUGGAAGGCUUGAGUAUGGGAGAGGUAAGCGGAAUUCCUGGUGUAGCGGUGAAAUGCGUAGAUAUCAGGAGGAACACCUGCGGUGUAGACGGCUUACUGGACCAUCACUGACGCUGAGGCACGAAAGCGUGGGUAGCAAACAGG
rnacentral:rRNA from 1 species